UGUAGCCCGCAGAAGCUACUGUGUUCCUGCACCUUUGUCUUUGGUUCAUGUAGACACCAACCAUAAAUUAAUCAGAUUCAAUAUUGUAAUAUUUGGUGGGAUUGAUGGUUUCUCAAGAAAGAUCCUAUAUCUUGAUGCUGCUGCCAACAACAAAGCCUCAACCGCAUUCUCCUUCUUCUUGGAUGGUGUCUGCAAACAUGGAUGGCCCUCAAGAGUACGUGGUGACCAGGGGGUGGAAAAUGUUGACAUUGCUCGUUGCAUGUUCUCUGUCAGGGGAACUGGACGUGGUAGCUUCAUUGCUGGUAAAAGUGUCCACAAUCAAAGUCUGACCUGAAGUGCUUCCUGGGUAGCUGGAACAAGCACCCUAUCAGAACCGAAGGAAACUUGUCUCCAGAGCAGCUGUGGUGUAUUGGUAUGCUCCAAACACCAGUGGAUGAGCCAGAUGUAGAGCCAAUGGAGAAUCCUGUGGAGUCCUGCACCGACGCUGAAGUGGAUGGUGGAGUGGUGGUGUCCGAGAUCCCUUGCCCACUGUCAGACCAGAAACAUGCUGUCCUUCAGGGAUUAAUAAAUCCAUUGACCUCAACCUUGUCUCAUAAGGAGCUCUAUAUUCAGACUCUUAAUCUGGUACAAUUACUUUUAUAAGACACAAGGAGAGCAACAAACAUGACAGAGUGGUGCUUGAAAGUUUGUGUAAAUGUUAUUUGUAUAGACAUUAAAGAAUCUGUUCUGCUUGACAUGUUUAGCUGCAAGCGUGUGAUGAAAGUUUGCAAAUGAUUGAAACCAAUCAGCUUGAAUUUUUAGUUAUGCCCUUGAACUUGUAAAAAUGCUAAAAGAAAUGGCAAAAGUAAUAAAUAUACUUCUUUUUA